rnacentral:rRNA from 1 species
GGAAGGCAGCAGUGGGGAAUAUUGCACAAUGGGCGCAAGCCUGAUGCAGCCAUGCCGCGUGUAUGAAGAAGGCCUUCGGGUUGUAAAGUACUUUCAGUCGUGAGGAAGGUGUUAAGGUUAAUAACCUUAGCAAUUGACGUUAGCGACAGAAGAAGCACCGGCUAACUCCGUGCCAGCAGCCGCGGUAAUACGGAGGGUGCGAGCGUUAAUCGGAAUUACUGGGCGUAAAGGGCACGCAGGCGGUUAAUUAAGUUGGAUGUGAAAUCCCCGGGCUUAACCUGGGAAUGGCAUUCAAGACUGGUUAGCUAGAGUCUUGUAGAGGGGGUAGAAUUCCAUGUGUAGCGGUGAAAUGCGUAGAGAUGUGGAGGAAUACCGGUGGCGAAGGCGGCCCCUGGGACAAAGACUGACGCUCAUGUGCGAAAGCGUGGGGAGCGAAACAGGGAUUAGAUACC